rnacentral:rRNA from 1 species
UACGUAGGGGGCAAGCGUUAUCCGGAAUUACUGGGUGUAAAGGGUGCGUAGGCGGCCAAACAAGUCAGAUGUGAAAGCCCAAGGCUCAACCUUGGGAUUGCAUUUGAAACUGUGUGGCUAGAGUGCAGGAGAGGUAAGUGGAAUUCCUAGUGUAGCGGUGAAAUGCGUAGAUAUUAGGAGGAACACCAGUGGCGAAGGCGGACUUACUGGA